rnacentral:lncRNA from 1 species
GCUGAUCAAGAGGCUUAAACUGAAGCAGGAGGGAUUUUAAGUUAGAACAGCUUUUGAGGAAGUCUUGUGAGACCUGACUUGGAAAGGGUGAAGAACUUCAUCUUGUCCGGAGGCUUAUAGGCAUGUCCACUGACUGUCCUUUGGAAGACUUUGAAAGUAUCUUACCUGGAGGAAGUUGUUGUAUUGAAAGUCCAGAGAAGGAAAGCUCUGGACCGCCCGUCAGCUGUGGAGGCUAAUGAUAAAUAAAUACCAGGAUGAAACCCUAAUCAGUGUCAGAAAUUUUGUGAGCUGAAUUUCUUUGAUAACAAGGAAGGGGCAGCCAGCUGGGGGCUCUGACUCCGAGAGCCCUCACUCUGGGCCCGUAUUCCUUCAGCAGAAAGCACCAGAAUGCAAUUCCAGACUUUCCUAUUCCUUUGUCACCUUCUUUUUCUCCUACCUUUUGCUGGCAAAGCUAUUCCCUGGAGAACUCUGAAGCUAGCCAAGCUGGCAAACACCCCAGCCAGAAAGCAGAGCUGUAGAAGAGAUCAGACACAGAAAAAGACAAGUGAAAUAACAGGUCAGAGGUGAGGCCAAAGUUCCUGUGUUCACAGAGAUCAGGAAUUGUCUGCAGCAACAAGGCAAGAAUUUUCCUGAAUCAGCAGGAUGAACUGCCCUGUCAAAUGACCUGCCCCUUCAGGGUGGGGUGACAGGAAGAAAGAGUUUGGCUUUGAGGAUUGGCUGCACAGAUUAGCUGAGUGACCAUGGACAAUCCCAAACCUUUCUGAGUCAGAGAUGCCUCCACUAAACAGCUUUGGCAAGUAUGUAAUGAGAGCAGACCAUCACACCAUAGAGGGAGCCUGGAUCCCUGAGUCACUGGAUGGAGGGUGAUUCUGAUUAACCUACAUCAAAAUUUUUAGUUUGUUACGUUGCAUUACUGAGAUUGAGAGCUUUACUUACUAAGGCAGUAAGAGUUAUUUAUCCUGAUUAAUAAAUGCAAUGUAUAAUAAAUGUUUGUUGAAAUAAUAAAUGAAUACUCUCAUUUAAUCCUCACAAUAACUUCAAGAUAGCUAUUUUGAUUUGACAGACAAGGAAAGGGAUUCAGAGUUAAGAAACAAUAGAGCCAGAAGUUAAAUUUAUGUCUUCAAAUUCCUUGCUCUUUUUACUGU